UUCAUAAUUAAGCAUAUUUACUGGUCUCUGGCAAGCAACAGCUGCCACAAUCACACUGGUGAGAAGCGCUCAUUUGAGUAUAUAAGAGAGAAGGGAAGACCCAUCAUCACCACAGACUUCUGCAGUCAUGGUUACUGGUGUUCUGGUGAAGACCUGCCUGCUGGGGGCGCUCGCCCUCCUCUGCAUAGAUGGCGCCCACGCUGACGAGAACCCAUGCGCGGCUACGGGCAUGACACCCUACGAUUACAAGCAGGCGCUCUGUAUUCAUUCUUCUUCUACGAAGCCCAACGGCCCGG